GCUAGGAUAACUCAGUUGGUAGAGUAGAGGACUAAAAACCUUCAUGCCACCCAUUCAAAUCUAGUUCCUGGCA
rnacentral:tRNA from 1 species